rnacentral:rRNA from 1 species
UCGAGAAUCUUUCGCAAUGGGCGAAAGCCUGACGAAGCGACGCCGUGUGAGCGAAGAAGGCCUUCGGGUUGUAAAGCUCUUUCGCUAGGGAACAAGAGAGUUGCGUGAAUAGCGCAAUGAUUUGAGGGUACUUGGUAAAGAAGCACCGGCUAACUCCGUGCCAGCAGCUGCGGUAAUACGGAGGGUGCAAGCAUUGAUCGGAAUUACUGGGCGUAAAGGGCGCGUAGGCGGCGCGGUAAGAUAGGUGUGAAAUUCCACGGCUCAACUGUGGAGCUGCACUUAAGACUGCCGAGCUUGAGGCUAGUUAGGGAAAACGGAAUUCCACGUGUAGCGGUGAAAUGCGUAGAUAUGUGGAAGAACACCGGUGGUGAAGACGGUUUUCUGGGCUAGAGCUGACGCUGAGGCGCGAAAGCUAGGGGAGCAAACAG